CCCCUCCCCUCGCCGUGGUAACAUGGUUGGAUCGAAGUAGUGGCUAGGUUUUUUUUGUCUAAUCAAAGUAGUGGCUAACCCCUUGAACUGAUGGCUAUGCUUCCAGAGUGUGCCUUUGCCUUCAUCAUCGGCAACUUCGGAUGCUAGCUAUGCUUUGAGUGCCACAUCGAGCAAGAUACCUUUGCCUUAUUGACUGAAGUUCCAUAUAGUUUUUUUUUACUUUCCUCAUCGGCAACUUCCGAUGCUAGCUAUGCUUUGAGUGCCACAUCGAGCAAGAUACCCACAUCAAGUUUGCAACUUUAUCAUAGUCUUCUCAAGGUAACUAUUCAUAUUUCCUAUCCUUGCUUCAUAAUCAUAAACAAAAAGAAUUUUGUGUGUAUCCUUGCCUAAUAUGGAAAAUAGUAAAAAGACAGAGAAUAUUUGGAAAUAUUUCUUUUGACUUCGAAACAAUGCUACAUGCAUUCCGACUUUAAAACAACAGAGAAGAAUCUCACAUGUUUCCAUUUAGGGUCAUCUUUUCGAGGUGGAGAAUUUUGACAAGGUUAAGCUAAAUCAUGACCUAGGUAGGAUAUGUUGACGAUCAGGUUGCUAAGUCAAAUCACACACACAUGGCUUCAGAGUCUAGUGAAGAUGAGCAUGGUGCUUAGAUGUUCUGUUGGUAAUCCAAGCUGUAAAUCAAACAAGAGAUAAUGGUGCAUGAAGAUGCAUGAGUUGCUGGCAGUGGUGAGACAAUGAUAGGACCUUCAAAGGCACUCUUCAUGGACGAAAUAUCCACUGGGUUGGACAGCUCAAGUACCUUCCAGGGCACUGAGGAAGGCCUGAUACUGGAUGGAAAAGCUUUUGUUCCGGAUAGGCUAUGAACUGGAAGAUGCUCCACAGCAUCAGGUGGCUGCCGGCCACUAGCUACCAUUCCCAUCUCCAUGCCUUCCUCUCCAAGCACCAGAUCGAGCUCAAGCCUCCAGCUUGCUGCAAGCCACUUAACGUUAAUGGUGCCAUCUAAUUCCUUUUGGACUCUUUUGUACAACAGACCUCAUUAAUGGCUAACAUUUGUAUUUAAUCAUUAAGUGCUAUUUUGGAGUUGUACUCAACGAUGACCAAUGUUUUUAUGGCUAACAUGAUAACUUAUAUUAUUCUGAUUGUUUGGUUUUAGUCGAGAAUGAUUA